GGUUCCGGGUUCGGAUCUGAACUGGGCCCAAGUUGGGCCCACAAAGGUACUGCCCAACUGGGCCCAACCGGACUGGACUGGGCCCAAGUUGGGCCUGCAAUGGAUAGGGCCCAACGGGCCCAGUUUGGCCCGUGAUGGGCCUCCUCCUUCCCCAAAGCCCCCACGGACAGGGGAAGAAGGAAAGACUGAAGAGAGAGAGAGAGGGCUGGCGGGGUGGCCGGCCUGGGUGGCCGGAAGCCACCCCUCGGUCGACGGCCUGCCGCCGCCAUGGCGGCCGGCGGCCGUUGCAGUGGCUGACGGGGAGGAGCAGCAACCGAGGUGAUCUCGGUUGCUGGGGCUGAAACAGAGGGGAAAAAUCAAUUAUUUUGGCAAUAGAACGAAGGCAAGGAUGAGGGAAGCUCACCGGCGGUCGACGAAGGUGGUGGGUCUCGGUCAAGGGAGGCUCGAUCCGGCAGCUAGCAGCGGCGACGGCGGUGGGGCUUCCAACGGCUAAACUAGAUCGAAAAACAGGGGAAUAAGAAAAUCAAAGGAGCAUGGCUCCCGGGGUGGUUGAACUCGAUUGAAGUGGCGCACGCGGUCACCGGAGAAGAAGGAGAAGCAGGGAAGAGAGGGGGGAAGGAGCGAAGGUGCUCGGUGGAGGAUCCAAGGGAGGACGAAAGGGGGUUUUAUAACCCCAUUUCAACGGCUCUCCACCGCAAAACUCAUGGCGAUGGGGCGAAAUCAACGGCCGCUCGUGCGGCCGUGGGGUGGCUGUGGAACAACCGCGGGACUGCCGCAUAACGCCCGCGGCGCCCCGCCCUCGCUGCGCCCGAGGAAGCCGGAGGGGAUCGCGUCUGCGAUCCCCUGCUCUGGCCCCUUCCGAAAGGGGAAUGGGGCUGAAGUCGGUUGGGGCUGCCGACUUCAGCCCCGUAUCUCACAUUCUCUCCCCCUUAAAAAAAAUUUUGUCCUCGAAAUUUAAAAGAUCUAGGCCUUUCAAAUUAGAAUUGCUCAGCCCAUUGAGUAAUAUAAAUCCAAGAUCUCAUUCUUCUCGAUCAAAAUCAGUGUGAUAGAUAGCUUUGGAUCAACUAUCAAAAAUUUUCAUAAAACUCGCAAGAUUAACACUAGAUAAGUGACUGACUAAAAUCUCAUAUUGAAAUUAUCAUCUUGAUGCAUGUUCACUCGAGAUCGGAUCAGGAUCGAUUCACAACAGGAUUGAUUAAAAUUAGUUGUGUUUGGGAUAGAACUUGACAUAAAAUAGAUCUCAUACACUUAUCAUGGUAGUGUGUUGAUCCCUUAAAGGAUAAUGACCAAUCUUAGAAUCAAAUCAUUAUAUGGCUAGUAAUGUAAUUCACAAAAUAAACUUGUACUGAUGAUCAUUAGAUAGCAACGGUCUAUCUUAAAAAUGAUUUGCAUCAAAUCACAAAAACAAGUCUGAGAAGGCAAAGUAUUGAUACCAUGAUUCAAUAUGCCACAAAGCUUUUAACUUAAACUUAUAAAUCAUAAGAUGAGAGUAGAUAAUGCAUGGUUUAUUCAGAUACUUAACAAAUUAGACCAUAUUUGGUCAACAAUCAACUAACCCGAGUCAUGAUACGCUCAAUUAUUAUUAUUAUUAUUUUCUUAGCAUACCCAGAAAUAGCAAAUUCUAUCCAAGAGAUAACAUAAUCAUAUCAUGAUUGACCUGAGAAUCAAUAGUAUACACCUUCCCUUAUUAACAAAAUCUUUCAUUAUUGAAUAACAUAGUCUUUCAUAAUAACAUGUUACCAAAACACAGUCAAUAUUAACAUGUUACCAAAACACAGUCAAUAUUUUUGACCAGUUUAAAUUGACUCAGUCCAUCAUAUUUUCGCUGCGCAACUCUGAUCAAUAUUCUCCAAAAUUUCUUAAUGAUCCCAUAUCAUCAACAUUUUUUUUUAUAAUAUCCAAGCAAAAUUUUAUCCUUGCUUUCCAAGAACACUAGGUCAUGAUUAACCCUUGAAAUAGUUGUCGUAUUUAUACUAUCAUAUAAUCAAGUAAUCAUAUUCUAGAUCCAAAUUUGAACUAACCCAAUUCUAGUUUCCCUUGACAAUUCCAUUAUACAAGUUAAUAUUUAUUCUAAGCUUUGAUAAUUAAAAGAUUCUAGAUUAACUUACUUAGGAGCUUACAUAAUCAUCCUGAAUCUUUUCUUUUAGGCUAAACUUAUUUGGGCCUCUCAUGAAAUCCCACUUGCAUUUCUCAUAUGGUGAUACAAAAUCCACAAUCAACUCAUAGCCUUGAUUAAUAAAUAUUUAACUCACACAAAUCUAAUAAUCUGGUUCAAAGAUUUAUAAGAAAUUCCUCCAAGAUAUAAGCUCUAUGAUUUUACAUUGAGAUCAAUUCCUUAAAUAAGUAAAAUAUUUUUUAUUUGCAAUACUGCAACAUUUCGGAAUCCUGUAAACUACUAGACUUAGAGAAUCUAUUCAAAACACCACAAACUCAUUAACUAUUUCAUCCCUUUAGUAAUAGUUCCCAUUUUUUUAAUAUAUAUAUUGCAGAUAAAAGAAUCUACUAAUAACAAAAUGAUAUCCAUAUUGAUCAAAAUCAAAAACACUAUACUUUCCAAUGAAAUUUUUCAUUAACAAGAAAAACCAUCAAGAACUUUUCCAAAUCAAAGAGGUCCUAUCUUCGACCAACCCAAAAAUAUUUUAAUACUCUAAUAUUCUCAAGACAUACUAAUUGACUUUCCAUCAAAAUAUCAAUCUUAAUUGUUUCAAGUCUCAAGUAGAGCCAAAUAAAAAUUCUUAAGUCUCAUCCCCAAGUAUAUUUUCCUUCUAUAUACGAGUUCCAUGCAUGAUCCACAUACAGAUUUCAAUAAAUAUUUUCUAGUCCAAGCUUUAAACAUCUUUUUAUAGAUGAAACUUAAUUUGCCACCAAAAUAAUUAACUUCAACUAGAAGCAAUAUCCACAGUGCCUGAUAUCAAGUUAAACUUCCAAAAUAAUUACAUUGCACGAUAAUAUCUCAUGAUUAAUAUUCCUUCACUUAAUUUAGUCAAAAUCUAAUUAAUCAUAACUUGAAAUACAAAUUGCUCUACCAAGAAAACUAUCAGAAUAACUUAUUCACACUUUGGUUACAGCCAUAAUUAGGUUGCAUUCUAAUUUUAGCAUUUCAAAAUUCUGAUAAAAUAAUAUAAAUUUAUCAAUAGCAAAAGCAAAUAAAUAUCUUCGUCUAAUGGCCUAAUGUCCACCCAUCUCUUAAACUUUCCGACGAAUCCUAAAGAUCCUAAAACUUAAGCUCCAUCAGACUUAUUUCAAACACAAUCCCUAGGAAUCUGAAACUUGAGCUCUGAUACUACCAAAUCUGUCACGCCCCGAGCCCGAGGCGUGGCAGACGCCGCACGCCCGCACGGCGGGCAGCACAGGCGUGCAAGGCAUCGGAUCAUAUCAAAACAAAUACAGAUGUUCAAAACUGACAUAAUUAUUUAAAUUUAUUCAAAAGCAGUCUUACAAAAUUUCAAAUAACAUAUGCUUACGUAAGUCAAAUACUUUAAUCAAUCUAACUAAAGGACCAAUAACUGAAGGAAUCGUUGGAAAAUCUAACGCACUCCUCAAUCCCGUGAGAUCAAGCCUCUGGAUCUGAAAAAUGGAGAAAAUAGAAUAAUGAGCUACACUAGCCCAGUAAGCAACAAAAUACCCCAAAGUGGGGUCAGAGCAUAUCAGAUCAAAAUACAGGAUAAUGUCUGGAAUAAAUCAUAAAUAAAAUCAUUUUGUUGUUUUCAAAACAUAUUAUCAUUUUUUCAAAAACUCUUAUACCAGAAUCUCAACAUAAUAGGCUACGACCACGUAACCCAGUGGCAUGGGUUGCACAGAGUGCCAGAAACCGCUAUUGUUAGUCACCGGUGGAAACGGUGUCCAGAAACCACUAUUCUAAUCACCGGUGGCACGGUGUCGAAACCGGUUCCUCACAGAUUACAAGUCGACAGGUCCAACGUAUAAUCCCUAUUGGCGGGGCCAGAAUAGAACAGAACAGAUCAUAGCCAUGCUGAGAAUACAUAUAUAUAAAAAAUAGAUUUCAUAAAUUUUCCACUCAUAGUUUACGGAUUUUAGAACAUAAUUUUCAAAUGAAAUUUAACAUGCCAGACCCAUUUUACUAAAUACAAAACAUAUUUUAGAAUUUAAUCAUUUAUCAAAUAAUUUGAAAAUCACACUUGAAGUAUUAAGUUACUUACCUCUUCUCGCUUAAUCCCUACUUCAGAUAGGCGGAUCAGAUUCACUUGUUUAAAUUUAAUUAAUUUCUUGUUAAUUUCAGAGCUAAGCAAAAAUCCAAAAAUAAUACUACUGGGCACGACCCAACAGGGCCCAGAGUUGGUCCAUAAUGAACGUGGCCCGAUAGGGCCCACAUCAGACACGGCCCAAUGGGCCCACAUAGACUCGGCCCAAUAGGGCCCUCCCAAGGUUGGCCUCUAAUUUGUUCAUUUAUGCAAUAAAAAUUCGUUUCAGGGACCAAUGUCUAAUUACAUAGCACCGUUCGUAAUAAAACUUGGGUAAAAGGACCAAACAAAUAUAGUUGAGGGCCUUUAUGUAAUAAAUCUUUCCUACAGGGAUCAAAUACAAAUUUCAGAAUACCUUUUUGUGAAAUAAUAUACUGUCAAUGGAUGAACUAAAAAAUUCCAUUUAUUGGCCAAAUGGGUUCGGAUUUUGGGUUCCGGGUUUCGGGUUCUGGGUUCGAGUUCGGAUCUAAACUGGGCCCAAGUUGGGCCCACAAAGGUACUGCCCAACUGGGCCCAACCGGACUGGACUGGGCCCAAGUUGGGCCUGCAAUGGAUAGGGCCCAACGGGCCCAGUUUGGCCCGUGAUGGGCCUCCUCCUUCCCCAAACCCCCCACGGACAGGGGAAGAAGGAAAGACAGAAGAGAGAGAGAGAGGGCCGGCGGGGUGGCCGGCCUGGGUGGCCGGAAGCCACCCCUC
rnacentral:lncRNA from 1 species